rnacentral:rRNA from 1 species
AUUGAACGCUGGCGGAAUGCUUUACACAUGCAAGUCGAGCGGCAGCGCGGGGCAACCUGGCGGCGAGCGGCGAACGGGUGAGUAAUACAUCGGAACGUACCCUGUCGUGGGGGAUAACGAGUCGAAAGAUUCGCUAAUACCGCAUACGACCCGAGGGUGAAAGCGGGGGAUCGCAAGACCUCGCGCGACUGGAGCGGCCGAUGGCGGAUUAGCUAGUUGGUGGGGUAAAGGCCCACCAAGGCGACGAUCCGUAGCGGGUCUGAGAGGACGGCCCGCCACACUGGGACUGAGACACGGCCCAGACUCCUACGGGAGGCAGCAGUGAGGAAUUUUGGGCAAUGGGGGCAACCCUGACCCAGCGACGCCGCGUGCAGGAUGAAGGCCCUUUGGGUUGUAAACUGCUUUCGGGUGAGAAGAAAAGCCGAAUCGUUCGGCUGGGACUGUAUCACCAGAAGAAGCACCGGCUAACUACGUG